rfam:Punica granatum cultivar Dabenzi scaffold218, whole genome shotgun sequence.
CAUUGAUGUGAUGAUAUCGUUUUCGGAAGUUAUUUACAAUGUCGACUCAAAACACCAUACUACAAUUAUCUGAUCAAUG